rnacentral:rRNA from 1 species
AACAAGGAUUCCCCUAGUAACUGCGAGUGAAGCGGGAAAAGUCUCAAAUUUUGAAUCUGGCAGUCUUUGCAGGCCGUCCGAGUUGUAAUCUAGAGAAGCGUCUUCCGCGCCGGCCUGUGUACAAGUCUCCUGGAAGGGAGCGUCAUAGAGGGUGAGAAUCCCGUCUCUGACACGGACCACCGGUGCUAUGUGAUGCGCUCUCGACGAGUCGAGUUGUUUGGGAAUGCAGCUCAAAAAGGGUGGUAAACUCCAUCUAAAGCUAAAUAUUGGCGAGAGACCGAUAGCGAACAAGUACCGUGAGGGAAAGAUGAAAAGGACUCUGGAAAGAGAGUUAAACAGUACGUGAAAUUGCUGAAAGGGAAACGCUCGAUGUCAGUCGCGUCGGCUGGGGGUCAACCUUGCGGUUUCGCUGGGUGUAUUUCCUGGUCGACGGGUCAGCAUCAGUUUCGGUCGUCGUACAAGGGCCAAGGGAAAGUGGCACCCUUCCGGGGGUGUGUUAUAGCCUUUCGGUCGUAUGUGGCGGCUCGGGACUGAGGAGACUCGGUGUGGGCUUCGGCUUACACUAGAGAUGCUGGCAUAAUGGCCUUGAGCGACCCGUCUUGAAACACGGACCAAGGAGUCUAACAUGUCUGCGAGUGUUUGGGUGGCAAACCCGAUCGCGAAAUGAAAGUGAAAGUCGAGAUCUCCAUCCACGGAGUGCACCGACGCCCGGAUCCAUCGUCUUUGACAAUGGAUCUGCGGUAGAGCAUGCAUGUUGGGACCCGAAAGAUGGUGAACUAUGCCUGAAUAGGGUGAAGCCAGAGGAAACUCUGGUGGAGGCUCGUAGCGAUUCU